AAUAAAAGUGUCUUCUUUCAUAAGCAAGUUAUGUUUUCUAGGUUAACGAUUUGGGGCUAACAAAAGGCUUCCCGAAUUGUACUUUUCUUCUGCUAUUCUCUACUGUCUUUAAUAACCUACCAAGUUUUCCCCCUACCUCGGCUAGGAUUGUGUGGUCGUAAAAUUCAAUUUGUAGCUCUCGAAGUCUAAUCAUCAUUGCAGAUUUCAUUUAUUACUCAUGGCUCUAAAUCUUAAAGAACAGGAUAAAGCUAUUAGCAUUGAAGAGGAAAUACCGGUUCAUCUUCGUAAUGCUCCCUCAACUAAGGCAUCCGAGAAAGAACAGGAUAAAGCUAUUAAUACUGAAAAGGAAAUGUUGGUUCAUGUUCGUAAUGCUCCCUCAACCAAGGCAUCCGAGAAUGAAAAAGGUAAAUCUAUUGCUAUGGGCACUGCAGAGGAAUGACCGGUGCAUAAACUGAAAAGGCCGGGAGGUGUUGAGCAUAUGUGGGUAAAGAAUUAUUAUUCGUUCCCUUCGACUGCUUAUCGGAAGAAUGAGAGAUACUAAUUCAAACAGACAAGGAAGAUCUAUGGGGUCUAUUAGUUUCUGUUCC